rnacentral:rRNA from 1 species
UCCGUAGGCGGGUAAUUAAGUCAGAGGUGAAAUCCCACAGCUUAACUGUGGAACUGCCUUAGAUACUGGUUAUCUUGAGUUUUAGUGAAGUAGAUAGAAUGUGUAGUGUAGCGGUGAAAUGCAUAGAUAUUACACAGAAUACCGAUUGCGAAGGCAGUCUACUAACUAACAACUGACGCUAAUAGACGAAAGCGUGGGGAGCGAACAGGAUUAGAUACCCUGGUAGUCC